AGGCUCUGAAAAAACACGGGCUCUCCCUCGCCUCCCGAUCCCAGCCGCCAGGAGGCGACCGGCCACGGCGACCCUCGAUCCGGUGUUGCGCCGGCCGCCGGACGACGCCGGCGAGGAUUUUCCCUCUCUCCCGACCCACGUCUCUCUCUCUCUCUCUCUCGCGCGCGCGCACGCGAAAUAGGGCUGGGCGCGGCCGCGUUUUCCUGUUGACGGAGGCCCCUGUCGGUGAAGCCCCGGAUCACGGCGUUCCCGUGGAGGGAGAGGGCGGCGGGGUCGAGCUCCUGUGAAUAGAGAGCAAGGCGAGGAUGGGCGCGGCAGGUGGAGACUCGUCCUCCUUUGUCCUCCCCGUCGAGCGCUGGAUCGAAGAAGCAGCGCUCCCCACCUCCAUCCCGUCUCCUUUCCUACAUCGGCUGCGCAGCGCCGCGCUCAUGGUGGUGGAGGCUAGGUCUCCCGCCCCCCUCCCCGUCCGGCGGCAAGCUUGAACAUCCCAGGCAAGUCUCUUGCGGCGUGGGAUGGACAGAGACAGGGGUAUCGGUGUAUGCAGGUGCGGGUAUUGCUUGUAGUAUGAGCCCGUGAUGAGCUCCUCAUUGGAAAUUGCAGAUGCAAUCUGGUGAUGGUUGUAGCUGUAGCUUCAUUUAUGCAUAUUGGGAAUGCUAUUUUGGUUUAAGAAGAGUUUGAAAGCAGCACGGACGGUUCUACGGCUGGUAUUGAAGGGAGAGCUUGGCAAUAGAGCUCUACUGCCUGAGCAUGGCAUCCAGCCCCAAUGGCAUCAUGCCCACUUGCCUAGGUAAGCUUUUCUCUGUUCCGAUUCUUGCACUUGUUGGUUUUUUACUUUCAGAGCACUGGGAAAUAUGAGAUGGUAUGUGUCUUCUUUUCUGGUACAAGUAAUUUAAACUGGCACCGUAUCAUUGCUACAAUGAACAAAGGUUGUAUUAUUUACAUUGAUUGGUACUCAAAUAGUUGUCUUACCUGAUCACUUGCUGCGUAUCCUUUCUUGAACCAAUGCCAGAUUAUUAAUCUUGAUUGACUUUGAAAAGUGAUUAUGUCGAAAUUCCUCUCUGGUAUAUAUUUUCUAUCAACUUCCUUUAUAAGGAUGUAUAAAGGUACAAACAAUCUUUACAAACUUUUCUGUUAAUGUCUCAUAUAAAUGAAAAUGUCUUAUAUUCAAAUUAGUUAGAUUACUUUCUGGACUCAUAGCAGUAUACACCUAACUUUGGGUGCUUAUGUUCAGGGUAGUAUUUUGUUUUUUGAGAAAUAUGUUUAGGGUAGUGUUAGUACACAACCAAGUAAAAAACAGAAUAAUAGUGUGAUCAGCUAAUAUUUUUGGUACAUUAGCAUCUAUUCCCUUUUCUCAAGCCAUUGAUUUGAGCUUGGAUAAGUGGCAUUUUGUCGUUUUACUGACUGAAUUUGCAGACCUAACAUGGCUCGUGCAUAUUAAUUCAUCAAUGUCUCUGGCUAUCCUGCAGUUCAAGGCAGAUCAUAUAUUACAUUUCUAAGCAGCUCACUUAUAUUGUGGCAGGAAGGUGAGUGGGAGGACCAUAGGUCAGGGAGUGUUUGGUUAAGAGAGAUAAAUGGGGAUGAGUUCACGACCAUGUUCCUGCCAUAUUUUGGCAAUAUGGUUCAGAGAGUGGUUUCAGAGGAGGUAGAGAAAGCGAAGUUCAAACAAUUCAGUGCAGCAGCAGCAACACCUCCAAGGAUCCAGGAUGCUGGGCUCGCAGGGUCUAGGCCGCUAUCGAUUUAUUUCUCUCGGUCGAUGGCCUCUUUUGUCUAUGGUAGAUCUGCACGUCAGCGGUCACAAGAGGACUAGGAUCUGGCUGUGCUCCACGACUACCACAACUAAGCCGGGGAGCGCCAGAGACCUCAACUUGAAACUUUUAACUGCAACAUUUGUUGGUCAGUGUCCUACUCUGAAAUUGUUCGUAGUGCUUUAUUCUGUAUAGCAUCCUUGGAUGAUUGUGUGGUGUGGUACUUUAUUUAUAUAGCGGGGCGUAAAGCCUUUUUCGGUAUUCUGUAUAGCAAAGGGAAAGAGCCUCAGUUUGGUAUAGCUAUGGAGGUCAUCCUUCGUUGGAAGAAACAUUGGUACAAAACUGUGAGGCUAACUGUUUUUUAAUAGUACCAUACAGUUGGUUGUUAAUUUUAAGUGUAUGAUCGUUUUUUCAGCCAAUGAAGUUAUGCUCAUGACAUGGAGAACUUCAAGGACAACCUGCCUGAACAGUUUCUACCUGAUUAGUGAGCUAUGCCAUUUCCAGUUCUCUCAUGUAACCUGAACAGCUGUUGGUUCAGAUUUUAGCAUUCCUUGCAAUUCUUGGUUAGCAGCACGCUGCGACACACAUGGCUCUGCCUCCAUGUCGUUCUACUUACUUUCGUGCUCUCUGCUUUCAUUCUACAAACCAACAUUUUUUUCUGUAUUAAUCAUGCCAUGCUGAAAGGUAAAAGUUAUUGCUCGGGCAGAAAGGAACAUUGUUGUCAAUCAUGCUGUUGUUUGGGCACUAUAAUUCAUGCUAUAUUCUGAACUCCUUUUUUGUUCUACUCAUCUUUUGUUUUCUGUUGUGUUGCCUCAGUUAUUUACAGUGUGAAUUCUUAGACUUUGCAUUUCUUGAACAUGGUCAGAACAAUCGAUAAAAUUUAGAUGCUAAGUGGCCUUUUUUCUGCAGAUUUUCUCUACAGCGCCAGCAUUGGAUGCUGACAAAAUAGAAGGAAAACUCUCCAGGAAAUUGAAUAAAUAGUCAUUGUUGAUUUUAGUUGCUAAAAGGAAAGGACUGCUGCAAAUUUUAGAACCAAGAUAGCAAUUUUGCCUGUUCUACCAGGUAUUGCUUAUUUUUAGUUGUGUAGCAUUUGGUCAGAUUUGGCUUAUUUGAUAAUGAGCAAAGAAUAAUUGUUGUGAUCGAAUAUAACAAGUAAUUUUGCGGCGUAGCAUCAAAACUGUUAAUGUAAAGUUUUCUGGUUCUGAUUUUUA